GACGAACGCUGGCGGCGUGCUUAACACAUGCAAGUCGAACGGAAAGGCCCUGCUUUUGUGGGGUGCUCGAGUGGCGAACGGGUGAGUAACACGUGAGUAACCUGCACUUGACUGUGGGGUAACUUCAGGAGAAUGGGGCUCAUACCGGGGAGGAGCUCCUGAUGCAUGGUGGUGGUUGGAAAGUUUCGGCGGUUGGGGAUAGACUCGCGGGUUAUCAGCUUGUUGGGCGGGUAGUGGCGUACCACGUCUUUGACGGGUAGCCGGCAUGAGAGGGUGACCGGCCACAUUGGGACUGCGAUACGGCGCAGACGCCUACGGGAGGCAGAAGGGGGGAAUAUUGCAGAAUGGGCGGAAGCCUGAUGCAGCAAUGCCGCGUGCGGGAUGAUGGCUUUCGGGUUGUAAACCGAUUUCGCCGGUGACGAAGCGUGAGUGACGGUAAUGGGUAAAGAAGCAACGGCUAACUACGUG
rnacentral:rRNA from 1 species